rnacentral:rRNA from 1 species
UGAGGAAUCUUCCGCAAUGGGCGCAAGCCUGACGGAGCGACACCGCGUGGAGGAUGAAGCCCUUCUUGGGCGUAAACUCCUGUUCUGAGGGACGAAAUUUUUGACGGUACCUCAGGAGAAAGUAUCGGCUAACCCUGUGCCAGCAGCCGCGGUAAGACAGGGGAUACAAGCAUUACUCGGAAUUACUGGGCGUAAAGCGUCUGUAGGCGACCAAGCAAGUCGGGGGUGAAAUCCUGGGGCUCAACCCCAGAACUGCCUUUGAUACUGGCUGUCUCGAGGUCGAGAGAGGUUGGUGGAAUUCCUAGUGUAGAGGUGAAAUUCGUAGAUAUUAGGAAGAACACCAGUGGCGAAGGCGGCCAACUGGCUCGAUACUGACGCUGAGGUGCGAAAGCGUGGGGAGCAAACAGGAUUAGAUACCCACGUAGUCCCUGAGCGGGCUGGCAAGGCGCAU